UAAAUAAACAAGCGUGACUUCACUUUUCUUCAAGCUCCAUGCCCCAUCCAAUGUACUGAUUAGAAUCUGAUCCCUGAUCUAGAGAAGGAUUGCGUCAUACUUCGGGGUAGGCCACCUUUGUGCUGACUCAUCAUACCUGCUCACUGCCAACUCUUGACAAGACAUUGCUGCUACCUCCUAUAGUAGGUCACAGCCUUCCAAGUUAUUGUAGAGCACCAUCAGCUCAUGCUUGGACAGAGAUAUAUGAGGUACGCAGAGUUCCCUCUGACCACAGAGGUGUGACAGGUGCUGCAAUCCUGCCAAAUCAAUUUCCGGGCAAUCGGCCACUUAAUAUCUGUGCAUGCGCUGAGCCGCGCCCAGCCACAGGGUCUGCAACAUCUGCAACUGAUUGAUAAAUGCAAGCACCUCUGCGGAGUAUGUAUGGCUUGCAAGUAUGAGGUGCUUGAAGUGUUGACCGAGCGCCACAGGCAGUGCGAUCCUGUGCUUGAUGGAGAGAAUGCGCAACACAGGAGCCUCUGCUACCAAAUGAUUCAAGAGCGCGGCCGCCGUUGGGUGUCCUUUGUGCAUGCCUGAAAAUUUGAGAUACUUCAGGAAUGGCAAGCUUGCAGCUGCAGCGUACUGGGCCAGGACGCGUCUUUGACAUUCCAUGCAAAUUCCAAUCGUCUGGCCUGAUCCCAGCGUUGUUUUUGCAGCCAGGACCCAGCUGGAUCCGUCUCAACACUUACUCUGAUGGCGUUCAGCUGCACAGAGCUCGUUGCACGGCAUGUCCCGCUGACUCUAGCCCAUUGCUUGAUGUCACGACCAUCAUCAGAGAUACACUCCACUCUGGGAACGAGGAUGAGCCUCUGUGAGCCCCCAAGACGACCCAAGAGCCCCCAGGGAUGGGGGCAUGUUGGGGGAUUUGAGCCCCCAACAGCCCCCAUGCAUCGCUAUCAGAAGGGGGCUGUUGGGGCCUCAUGAGGGCUGCAGAGUGCUAUUGGGGCCACAUAGGGGCUAACCCGUGUUCCCAGAGUGCUCGGCUAUUUGCUUGCAGAAGAAAAUUGGUCAGACUGGGUAGUGCCAGUGCCAUAGUUGCACGACACGGCUGGUCAAAAUUUGGACACGCGUUUGCGAACGUUCGCGACACCACGACACCGCGACACGCGUGUCCAGACCUGAGGACGUUAGUAACCAUUUAAUCGGGUGA
rnacentral:lncRNA from 1 species